rnacentral:rRNA from 1 species
UACGUAGGGUGCGAGCGUUGUCCGGAUUUAUUGGGCGUAAAGAGCUCGUAGGCGGCUUGUCGCGUCGUUCGUGAAAACUCACAGCUCAACUGUGAGCUUGCGGUCGAUACGGGCAGGCUAGAGUUCGGUAGGGGAGACUGGAAUUCCUGGUGUAGCGGUGAAAUGCGCAGAUAUCAGGAGGAACACCGGUGGCGAAGGCGGGUCUCUGGGCCGAUACUGACGCUGAGGAGCGAAAGCGUGGGGAGCGAACAGG